AGGAUGAACGCUGGCGGCGUGCUUAACACAUGCAAGUCGAACGAUGAAGCAGAGCUUGCUCUGUGGGUUAGUGGCGAACGGGUGAGUAACACGUGAGUAACCUGCCCUUGACUCUGGAAUAAGCGUUGGAAACGACGUCUAAUACCGGAUACGAGCUUCCGCCGCAUGGUGAGGAGCUGGAAAGAAUUUCGGCAAGGAUGGACUCGCGGCCUAUCAGGUAGUUGGUGAGGUAAUGGCUCACCAAGCCUACGACGGGUAGCCGGCCUGAGAGGGUGACCGGCCACACUGGAACUGAGACACGGUCCAGACUCCUACGGGAGGCAGCAGUGGGAAUAUUGCACAAUGGGCGCAAGCCUGAUGCAGCAACGCCGCGUGAGGACGACGGCCUCGGUUGUAAACCUCUUUAGUAGGAAGAAGGACUUGGUCUGACGGUACCUGCAGAAAAAGCACCGGACUAACGUACGUAGCCAGCAGCCGC
rnacentral:rRNA from 1 species